GAGGUUGUAUAACCAGGCCAGGUCUGGUAUAAUCCCUCGGUGUCGGAAGGCCUCCAACAGGGGGCCCAGUCCCGUGCGGCGAGAGCCCGUGAACCCCGUCAGGUCCGGAAGGAAGCAGCGGUAAGCGGUGUCUGUCGGGUGCCACGGAGCCCUGGGUCCCCUGUUGGGGGCCUUCUUCUAUUCUU
rnacentral:misc_RNA from 1 species